AUGGCCGCCAUCUAGGAACUCGACUAAGUCCAGGAGCAGAGGUUAACAAAAGCUUUAACUUGUGAUUUAAGGAAAAAAGACUCUUUAAUUUAAAUUCCUAGAGGUCUCAGGACUACAGAACAACCCUGAAACUCUGCAUGUGCUUUGAUGCUAUCCUCUUGAGAAAUUGACAUGACAAUGACCUUUGGGAGACCACCCUGCCUGACCCAGAUACUCAACAUUCUUAAGAACUGACCACCUUGAGGAUCGGAGGUACAUGAUUCUUGACAAAC